rnacentral:rRNA from 1 species
GUCCUACGGGGGGCAGCAGUGAGGAAUAUUGGUCAAUGGGCGGUAGCCUGAACCAGCCAAGUAGCGUGAAGGAUGAAGGUUCUAUGGAUUGUAAACUUCUUUUAUAAAGGAAUAAAGUGAGGCACGUGUGCCUUUUUGUAUGUACUUUAUGAAUAAGGAUCGGCUAACUCCGUGCCAGCAGCCGCGGUAAUACGGAGGAUGCGAGCGUUAUCCGGAUUUAUUGGGUUUAAAGGGUGCGCAGGCGGGAGAUCAAGUCAGCGGUAAAAUGUCGGGGCUCAACCCCGGCCGGCCGUUGAAACUGGUUU